ACACGGUCCAGACUCCUACGGGAGGCAGCAGUGGGGAAUAUUGCACAAUGGGCGCAAGCCUGAUGCAGCCAUGCCGCGUGUGUGAAGAAGGCCUUCGGGUUGUAAAGCACUUUCAGCGGGGAGGAAGGCGUUAAGGUUAAUAACCUCAUCGAUUGACGUUACCCGCAGAAGAAGCACCGGCUAACUCCGUGCCAGCAGCCGCGGUAAUACGGAGGGUGCAAGCGUUAAUCGGAAUUACUGGGCGUAAAGCGCACGCAGGCGGUCUGUCAAGUCGGAUGUGAAAUCCCCGGGCUCAACCUGGGAACUGCAUUCGAAACUGGCAGGCUAGAGUCUUGUAGAGGGGGG
rnacentral:rRNA from 1 species